AUGAGACUAGUAUUGGAAUGCAGUUACUGUAUUUCAGUAGGAAAACAUACCCUUUCAGUAGCUGAUUUGUUCCAGGUUUAGCAAACUGCUUUGAUAAUGGUGAAAUAAUUGAGUCUGGCGGAAGGCUUAAAUGUCACUGAGUUAUUGACUAAUCAGUGACCUUGUGGAGAAGAGGUGGGGGCAGGGGCAGACUUAGUGAUUUGGAGGCCCCAUGCACAGGCCAGUCUGUGCAUGGGGCCCCCCUCAGACUGACAUGUAAUCUGUAAAAUGUGUUACCUUUUAAUGUGCCAUGAACACAACCAGUCAUGAUGUUUUCAUCUGAUUGUCAAACAAAUCCCUUCAAAAAGUAGGUUAGAUUCACACGUUCAUCCAAAAUAAUUCCAGCAUCCGAACAGUGCACUGUGCACCAGCCAACGUUCCUUCAAUUCACAGGAUGGGAAGGAGGAGGUGAGGGAGGAUAGGAAGUAGGAGGUGAGGGAGGAUAGGAAGUAGGAGGUGAGGGAGGAUAGGAAGUAGGAGGUGAGGGAGGAUAGGAAGUAGGAGGUGAGGGAGGAUAGGAAGGAGGAGGUGAGGGAGGAUAGGAAGUAGGAGGUGAGGGAGGAUAGGAAGUAGGAGGUGAGUGAGGAUAGGAAGGAGGAGAUGAGGGAGGAUAGGAAGUAGGAGGUGAGGGAGG
ensembl:lncRNA